GACAGAGGCCCCAAGCGUUAGGCGGAAUCACUGGGCUUAAAGCGUGUGUAGGCGGAUCGUUAAGUGUCUUGUGAAAUCCCACAGCUUAACUGUGGAACUGCUUGGUAUACUGGUUGUCUUGAGGUACCUAGGGGCGAGCGGAACAAGUGGUGGAGCGGUGAAAUGCGUAGAUAUCAGGAGGAACACCGGUGGCGAAGGCGGCCUUCUGGACAGUGACUGACGCUGAGACGCGAAAGCGUGGGGAGCAAACAGG
rnacentral:rRNA from 1 species